rnacentral:lncRNA from 1 species
AAGCAGAAAACAGGAGGAGUGCCACAGUGGUUAGAGCAGAUUCAUUGCAAAUCUAAUAUUUGUAAUUUUUAUGUAUUACUUGCUUGAUUUUUAGGGGAAUUUUUUGAGGGGAAGGGGGAACGUCAUUAAUCAGCCAUGGGGACAAAACACAAAGCAGCAAGAGCAAGAACCCAGACUCUCCUGGAAAUGGAAUGCUAACACCCAUCUUGUAUUUAAAAAAAGAUGCUGAGAUCCUCACACAAAGUUGUACUUCAGACAUGUGUACUCAUAAAAUUUAAUGGAGUGGAAUUGCCUGAAAGAACUGGACCAUUUUUAAUAUACCUUUCUGUAGCUCCUUG